rnacentral:rRNA from 1 species
UACGUAGGGCGCAGGCGUUAAUCGGAAUUACUGGGCGUAAAGCGUGCGCAGGCGGUUUGCUAAGACAGGUGUGAAAUCCCCGGGCUUAACCUGGGAACUGCGCUUGUUACUGGCAGGCUUGAGUGUGGCAGAGGGGGGUGGAAUUCCACGUGUAGCAGUGAAAUGCGUAGAGAUGUGGAGGAACACCAGUGGCGAAGGCGACUUCCUGGCCUGUUCUUGACGCUGAGGCGCGAAAGCUAGGGGAGCAAACGGG